AUUUGCCAUCAACCUUACUUGUAUCCUGCACCAUUCUCUGCUGCUGCACCACAGCCAACCUCCAUAGAAGCUGAUGAUGGCUCUGUACUUAAGAGUGGGAGACAAGACUCAACCUCAAGGUUUUGCAAAGCUGGAAUCGAGCUGUCAGCUAGAGAUGCCUUUCAUUUGUGUUUGAGGUAAUCCUAGGCACUAAGGCUUAGAGGCUCAUUCAAAGAGUUAAUAGGAAGCACUUAAUUCCUUUUUGGAUAUAAGAUUGGGGAUCCCUGUUUUUUUUUUGUUGUUGUUGUUUGUUUGUUUUUUUACUUUGGGUCAGUGUUGUUGCCUGUGUCUAGUGGCACCUAAGUCCCCACACCAUGUUGAUUUUCAAACUUCACUGACAGCACACAGAAUCCCUCACUCUAGGACUCACCUGACUAGACCGGGUCUACCAGAUAAGGUACCUUCUGAUUAAACUCAGUCUGAGGAAUGAGUCAUCUUACUAUCACCACAGAUAGCACCUCUCCACACUCACAGGCUUGGCCCAUGUUUAAAAGGCAUGUACACCGGGCCUGUCAGAUUCUAGAAUUCUACCUCUAAAGAGCAGGAAAAAAAAAAAAAAGAUACAGAUGGGGACAGGGGUGUUUAGAAACUGAGAGUUGGGGAAGCAAGGAACUCACUGUUCUUUUAGCGGCUUAUUUCACAACGGAAGAUGAUUCCAGCUAUCUGGGCAAGAGAAGAGAAAGUUCUCAGGUAUGAAAAGUUCAAAUGAGGGAGUUGAACAAGUGAGAGGCUGGGAGGGCCUCGAUGAGGAGGUGGGUGGGGAUCGCCUGGGGUGUGAGUGGAGUAAGAAUGAUGGAUGCAUGGCAGGGUGAUGGUGCUUCCCUCAAACAGGGAUUUGAAAGAAGGGAGUGAAGAAGGCCUGGAGCAGGAGAGAUGGCUCAGUUAACAAAGUACUCGGUAUGCAAGAAAGAAGACCUGGUUUUGAGCCUCAGCAUCCAUUUACAAAUUCAGGAAUGGUGUUUCUUGGUUACAGUCUGGAAGCUGGGGAAGGGGAGACUGCUAGAUCAUUGAAUCCCAUCAGCCAAUCAAUCUAACUGUAUUGUUGAGUCCUAGGUACUAGUGGAAGAUCCUGGCUACAAAAGCAAGGUAUAUGGCUUAUGAGGAAUGAUGCCUGAGGAUUCAGGUUCACCUGUACCUACAUAUGAACUUACACAUACACACACACACACACACACACACACACACAGGAAAGCCUUGCAGCCAUAGUGGAGCCAGAGGGGACCAAGGACACCUCCUCUAAUUCCAAGCAUGAUUACUGGGGAAAGAGAUUGACAAGAGACAGCUGUGUGAAACAGAUACAGGUUUGAGACUUAAAGUCAGAGAGACCAAAUGGCAUCUCCUACUGGGAUCCCACAGGAUCCCUCUGUCACAACUCGAACUUCCGAAACAACUAUCCCCGUGGGAAGCAAGAGAGACCGGUCUGCCUGUAUGACCUACCUUGCACAGCUCACCCCAAGUCCAUGCUGGGCUUUGUGCUGAGUACCAAGCUGAUGCCCAAGUCAUCCAGGACGAUACCCUGAUCUGCUCUGAGCUUAAUAAGAGUCCCAGAACAACAGGGGUCCAAACCAAGAACUGGUCAAAAAACAGUUUUAAAGAUGCUUGGAAGUUAAAGCUCAGUGGGCAGGGGACAGCAUGAGCAAACAGAAGGGUGUGUCUUGAGAAACUAAAAGAGAAGUUCACAGAGGUGUGACAACUUAUCUCACCGAACAACCUGCUGGGCAGCUCCGGCAGACAGAUCCUAAUGAGUUGCUCUAAGAGCUCUGCCAACCAAAACCACGCUGAAAGUGGUUCUAGCCCUUAUCCUCAUUAAAGCCAACCCUUAGCACGAGGAAAUCAAUUUAGAACAAAUCCUACAACUCCUGAAGCCACUCUGAGGCAGAGGAAAAGUUAAGUAUGGAGCCGGGGACACAGCCAAGAAGCAUCUUCAGGGCCCUGUGCUCCAUCCUCAACUCGGCAGGGAGAGGGAAAAGCUCACUGAAGCUAUUUUGCUGAAAAGAAGUUAGACAAGAAAGACGCCAGAGUUCCUAGGAGAAGCGAAUUCUGGACUAGUUUCCAGCCUGGGUCCUCUGCCGAGCCCUCAGAAGAUUGCCAAGAGAAUAAAUGUUGUGUUUGGCACCCGCUCCUCCCGGAGAAGUCACAGGCAGAUAUAAGGAGCCGUUAGAAGCAGCAGCCAGAGCUGGGUACAGUCAACCUCGGGGCAGUCCCUGCAAAGUCCUUCCUGAAGAUUGUAAGUGGUUGCUUUUCAAAGGUAAGAAUUCUGCCUUCUUGCCCACCGAGAUCCUUCAUUAUCUACUUCCAAAUACAGGCAUAGGUGAUACAGGGCCAGGGAAGGCAGGCUGAGACAAUGGUCCCACUCAUCUAGGAUGAUGUCGUUUGGAACCAAGGCAGCCAGGCCAGUCCUGCAGCAGAGACUGCCUGCUUGUGUGCUAGGGACCCACAGCCACCUGUGGUGCUGCCUCCAGGAAGUUGCUGGGAUGUCCCAAGCUUGGGAGGAGGCUGAGGCAGAAGGCAACGUAUGAAUAAUGAAUGAGAAGUUCUCACCUCUCCUCCUUAGCAUUCCAUUCAAAUUACCGAAGUAAGGCAACCAUUUCUCUUCCCAGCUUCAAAGGAGAAGUGCUACCCUUAGGGGACAGCCAGAGUGAAUUGGGAAGAGGGACCUGGGAAGACCCUUACCUGGGCUGACACUCUGCAACUAUGAAGCAGCUCACUAUGACAGAGGGGAUAUCCAGGGAACCUAAGACUUCAGCAAAGCAAACCAAUAACCUCGGGCCUCUAGCCACCAGACACAAACCACACAAUGGGACUGGUGCCUGCAGAUAGCGUCUGAGUACUUCCAAAAAAAGCCAGCACCUGCCGCUGGGCCUCGGGGAGCAAAUCCCUGCUGGUGAUGCCGGCCGACCGGCAAACCAGCAAACCCCUCAGGAAUGUCCACUCCUGGCAUCUUCGCCUUACAGAAUUUCUGUAGCCCCAGUUUCAGGAAUAACGCAUUCAUUUUAAGGGGACUGCACAUACCAGGCCUUCUUAAUCAAGCCUUUCACAGAUGUUGUGCAAAUGUCCGGCCUGUAGGGGGAGACAGAGAGCACUUUGCCCUGCCCUGAACCCACAGACCAGAAACUCUCUUGGUCCCCCGCCUGCUCCUAAGCAUGACUUCCGACAUUUUAUCUGAUAUCAGUUGGUGUUUCAAAGUCUCUAACCUCAUGUUUUUAGCCUUAAUAAACGGUUGUAU